rnacentral:rRNA from 1 species
GAUGAACGCUGGCGGCGUGCCUAACACAUGCAAGUCGAGCGAUUCUCUUCGGAGAAGAGCGGCGGACGGGUGAGUAACGCGUGGGUAACCUGCCCUAUACACACGGAUACAUACCGAAAGGUAUGCUAAUACGGGAUAACAUGUUUUGACCGCAUGGUCGAAAUAUCAAAGCUCCGGCGGUAUAGGAUGGACCCGCGUCUGAUUAGCUAGUUGGUAAGGUAAUGGCUUACCAAGGCGACGAUCAGUAGCCGACCUGAGAGGGUGAUCGGCCACAUUGGAACUGAGACACGGUCCAAACUCCUACGGGAGGCAGCAGGUGGGGAAUAUUGCACAAGUGGGACGAAAGCCUGAUGCAGCAACGCCGCGUGAGCGAUGAAGGCCUUCGGGUCGUAAAGCUCUGUCCUCAAGGAAGAUAAUGACGGUACUUGAGGAGGAAGCCCCGGCUAACUACGUG